ensembl:snRNA U6 U6 spliceosomal RNA
GUGCUCACUUUGGCAGCACAUAUACCAAAAUUGGAAUGCUACAGAGAAGAUUAGUGUGGCCUCUGUGCAAGGAUGAUAUGAAAAUUCAUUAAGCGUUCCAUAUUUUU